rnacentral:lncRNA from 1 species
AAGUAAGAUCAAUAAUUUAAUCAAUAGAUAUUAGCAUUCUAAUUUUCAUUAGGAUUUAAUUUAGAGUUUAGGAUUUAUUUAGGAUUUGGUUUAAGGUUUAGGAUUUAUUUAGGAUUUGAUUUAGAGUUUAGGAUUUUUUAAAUUUUUAUUUAUGAUUUAAAAUUUAAUUAAAAUUUGGUUUAAGAUUUAUUUAGGAUUUGAUUUAAGAUUUAGAGUUUAUUUAGGAUUUAAUUUAAGAUUUAGGAUUUGCUUAGGAUUUGGGAUUUGGCCUAGGAUUUGAUUGAAAUCCAUUAAGAUUUCAAUUAAGAUUAAU